UCGACCGGGGCGACAGCAAUAUGAAGGUCAGGCUGAAGACCUUACCCGAUUAGCUGAGAGGUGGUGCAUGGCCGUCGUCAGUUCGUACUGUGAAGCAUCCUGUUAAGUCAGGCAACGAGCGAGACCCACGUCCACAGUUGCCAGCAUACCCUCCGGGGUGAUGGGUACACUGUGGAGACCGCCGCUGCUAAAGCGGAGGAAGGAGUGGGCAACGGUAGGUCAGUAUGCCCCGAAUCUCCCGGGCUACACGCGGGCUACAAUGGUUGGUACAAUGGGCACCUACCCCGAAAGGGGAAGGAAAUCUCUUAAAGCCGAUCGUAGUUCGGAUUGAGGGCUGCAACUCGCCCUCAUGAAGCUGGAAUCCGUAGUAAUCGCGUUUCAACAGAACGCGGUGAAUACGUCCCUGCUCCUU
rnacentral:rRNA from 1 species